rnacentral:misc_RNA from 1 species
UGAUGUUCUCAGCAUGGUUAUUAAGGUUGAGAAGUGAAGACCUCAGAGUCCCAUUAGCAUCCACUCUCUCACUAUGACUAUCACAACUGGCAUCUCUUCUAAGAUUAGAUCCAAAAUCUAGCAUUGCUUCUUCACUUAAACCAUUCUGACCAGCAAAAUUCUCUCUGGGCUCAAGCCUUUGAAUUCCAUCCCAGUCCGCAAAUUUACAACCUACAAGAUCAUCCUUGCAAAGAAUAACAGCUGUAGAAGUUAACAAGCACAUGCCCUUUGCACAUGUAUAAGCAUCUGCGAACCUAUUUACCAGCUUCUCACUUACACCUCCAAAUGAACAACAGCAAGCUCCAA